UCCUCGUUAGCUCAAUGGCAGAGCGGGCGGCUGUUAACCGCUAGGUUCGAGGUUCGAGUCCUCGACGAGGAG
rnacentral:tRNA from 2 species